GUCAGGGUGGCCGAGGGGUCUAAGGUGCCAGCCUCAAGAUCUGGAGGCAUGGGUUCGAAUCCCACUCCUGACA